rnacentral:rRNA from 1 species
CGCUGGCGGCGUGGAUAAGACAUGCAAGUCGAGCGAAAGUCUGUGGGUAGCAAUAUUUGCAGAUUUUAGCGGCGGAAGGGUGCGUAACACGUGGGUAAUUUACCAUAAAGACCGGAAUAACUUGCUGAAAGGCGAGCUAAUACUGGAUGUGACUGCGGGAAGGCCUCUUCCUGCUGUCAAAGCUGGGGACCGAAAGGCCUGGCACUUUUUGAUAAGCCCGCGGCCUAUCAGCUAGUUGGCGGGGUAACGGCCCACCAAGGCUAAGACGGGUAGCUGGUCUGAGAGGACGACCAGCCACACUGGAACUGAGACACGGUCCAGACACCUACGGGUGGCAGCAGUCGAGAAUUUUUCACAAUGGGCGAAAGCCUGAUGGAGCGACGCCGCGUGGGGGAUGAAUGGCUUCGGUCCGUAAACCCCUGUCAUUCGGGAGCAAUGCCUGUGGAAUAAUACUCCGCAGGUUGAUAGUACUGGAAGAGGAAGGGACGGCUAACUCUGUG